UACAGAGGUCCCAAGCGUUGUUCGGAUUCAUUGGGCGUAAAGGGUGCGUAGGCGGCGCGGUAAGUCGGGUGUGAAAUCUCGGAGCUUAACUCCGAAACUGCAUUCGAUACUGCCGUGCUUGAGGACUGGAGAGGAGACUGGAAUUUACGGUGUAGCGGUGAAAUGCGUAGAUAUCGUGAGGAAGACCAGUGGCGAAGGCGGGGUCUCUGGACAGUUCCUGACGCUGAGGCACGAAGGCCAGGGGAGCAAACGGG
rnacentral:rRNA from 1 species